rnacentral:misc_RNA from 1 species
UUAAGUUCAGCGGGUAGUCCUACCUGAUUUGAGGUCAAAAUGUCAGAAGUUGUCCAAGUCAAUGGACGGUUAGAAGCUGAACCCCAUGUAAAGCUGCUUCACAACCAUGGCGUAGAUAAUUAUCACACCAAAGCUGGUCCACAAAGGUUCCGCUAAUGCAUUUAAGAGGAGCCGACUUCAAGAAAGAAGCCCGCAAAAAC